UACAGAGGGUGCGAGCGUUGUUCGGAAUUACUGGGCGUAAAGCGCGCGCAGGCGGCCCUUUAAGUCCAUCGGUCAAAUGCCGGAGCUCAACUCCGUGCGUGCCGAGGAUACUGGAGGGCUGGAGACACGUAGAGGCAAGCGGAAUUCCGGGUGUAGCGGUGGAAUGCGUAGAGAUCCGGAAGAACGACCGGAGGCGAAGGCGGCUUGCUGGGCGUGAUCGUGACGCUGAGGCGCGAAAGCGUGGGGAGCGAACAGG
rnacentral:rRNA from 1 species